UGGGUAACCUGCCUCAAAGAGGGGAAUAGCCUCCCGAAAGGGAGAUUAAUACCGCAUAAUAUGUUUAGGUCGCAUGACUUUAACAUCAAAGGAUUUUCUUUUAGAAAUUCCACUUUGAGAUGGACCCGCGGCGCAUUAGCUAGUUGGUGAGGUAACGGCUCACCAAGGCAACGAUGCGUAGCCGACCUGAGAGGGUGAUCGACCACAUUGGAACUGAGACACGGUCCAGACUCCGUAGG
rnacentral:rRNA from 1 species